GACGAACGCUGGCGGCGUGCCUAAUACAUGCAAGUUGAGCGCUGAAGGUUGGUACUUGUCCCAACUGGCUGAGCAGCGUACGGGAGAGUAACGCGUGGGGAAUCUGCCUUUGAGCGGGGGACAACAUUUGGACACGAAUGCUAAUACCGCAUAAAAACUUUAAACACAAUUUUUAAGUUUGAAAUAUGCAAUUUCUUCAUUCAAAGAUGAUCCCGCGUUGUAUUAGCUAGUUGGUGAGGUAAAGGCUCAGCAACGCGAUGAUGGUUAGCCGACCUGAGAGGAUGAUCGGACAGUGUGGGACGGAGGAAUGGCCCAAUCUCAUGCGGAUGGCAGCAGUAGGGGAGCUUCGGGAAGGGAUGAAAGUCGGACCGAGCUACGCGGCGGGAGUGGAGAAGGUAGUCGUAUCGUAGAAGUCUGUUAGUAGUGAAGAACGUUGGUGAGGUUGGAAAGAGCAGAUAGUGACGGUAACUACAAAGAAAGGGACGGCUAACUACGUG
rnacentral:rRNA from 1 species